rnacentral:rRNA from 1 species
GUUGGGCACUCUAAGUUGACUGCCGGUGACAAACCGGAGGAAGGUGGGGAUGACGUCAAAUCAUCAUGCCCCUUAUGAUUUGGGCUACACACGUGCUACAAUGGACAAUACAAAGGGUAGCGAAACCGCGAGGUCAAGCAAAUCCCAUAAAGUUGUUCUCAGUUCGGAUUGUAGUCUGCAACUCGACUAUAUGAAGCUGGAAUCGCUAGUAAUCGUAGAUCAGCAUGCUACGGUGAAUACGUUCCCGGGUCUUGUACACACCGCCCGUCACACCACGAGAGUUUGUAACACCCGAAGCCGGUGGAGUAACCAUUUGGAGCUAGCCGUCGAAGGUGGGACAAAUGAUUGGGGUGAAGUCGUAACAAGGUAGCCGUAUCGGAAGGUGCGGCUGGAUCACCUCCUUUCUAAGGA